UACGGAGGGUGCAAGCGUUAUCCGGAUUCACUGGGUUUAAAGGGUGCGUAGGUGGGUUGAUAAGUCAGUGGUGAAAUCCCCGAGCUUAACUUGGGAACUGCCAUUGAUACUAUUGAUCUUGAAUACCGUGGAGGUCAGCGGAAUAUGUCAUGUAGCGGUGAAAUGCUUAGAUAUAACAUAGAACACCAAUUGCGAAGGCAGCUGGCUACGCGAAUAUUGACACUGAUGCACGAAAGCGUGGGGAUCAAACAGG
rnacentral:rRNA from 1 species